GACGAACGCUGGCGGCGUGCUUAACACAUGCAAGUCACGGGGGCCCAGUAGCAAUACUGGGCAACCGGCGAACGGGUGCGCAACACGUGAGCAAUCUGCCGAUCUCUGGGGGAUAGCCGGCCCAACGGCCGGGUAAUACCGCAUACGCUCAUCGGGGGACAUCCCCCUGGUGAGGAAACCUCCGGGGGAGAUCGAGGAGCUCGCGACCUAUCAGCUAGUUGGCGAGGUAANGGCUCACCAAGGCUACGACGGGUAGCUGGUCUGAGAGGAUGGCCAGCCACAUUGGGACUGCGACACGGCCCAGACUCCUACGGGAGCAGCAGUGGGGAAUAUUGCGCAAUGGACGAAAGUCUGACGCAACGACGCCGCGUGUGGGAUGAAGCUCUUCGGGGUGUAAACCACUGUUGCCAGGGAAGAAACUCCUGAUUCGUCAGGACUGACGGUACCGUGGUGAGGAAGCACCGGCUAACUCUGU
rnacentral:rRNA from 1 species